UCUCUUUUUUCCUUCUAAUUUCUUUUCUUUUAUUCUUCAUAAGCAAAUAUCAAAUUAUAUGAAUAUAAUCAGAUGGGAGCAUGAAAGCACCUAAUUCAGACGAAAUAUCAUUUUAUGUGAUUCAAUAGAAAAUAAUGAAUCUUACUAUAUCUCUUUUUUCUAACUAUUUCUUUUUUCUUUUACUUUGCUCCUUCAUGAGCAAGUCAUAAAUUUUUCUUUUUGUUUUUUCUCUUCCAAACACAUAAUUAAGAUGUAAUAAGAUAAACGGGAAUAUUUUAAUUACACAUAAUUUUGUCCAUAUUGUUAUUAUUUCCUAUUGGAAUAUGUAUGUGAACAAGUAAUUUCAUCUAGAAUCUAUGACAAAUCAUGUAAGAAAUUCUUGACAAUUUUGUUGAAUUGGUCUGCAUGUUCGAGUUGAGGAACAUGUGAUCCUUUUUCAAUCACUUCUAAUUUGGCCUUCUCUCCAAGCAACCUGCGAUAGUUACAAACAUAUGAGUUUAAUUUUUUUAGAUAUAAUAUAUAGAUAACUGUAUAUUCGAUGCAUACGUGAUUAUACAUGAAUGUAUUUAUAGUGGACAAAAUUCGUAUAGCCCAAUCAACUAGACAUUUUGGCCCGAUUGGUCGAGGCCCGAACGCAUGGUUUGUCGAGUUAAGCUCUGAGAAAAGCGAUGGCUUGAAGAGGGAGACGGGUUAAGAUCGCGGGAUAUCUGAAUAUCGAGACGACUAGAACUAUAUUUAUAUGGUUUUCGUGUGGAAAUAAAAAUAAAUGUGAUAGUGAAUAUUGAAUGAAUACAUACUUCUUGAGUUCCUUUGCUUUCUCCACCAGAAAUAUUUGGUCAUUUUCUCCCCACACAAUCAACACUUCCUGAAUUUUGGAUAAAACAAAAAAUACACAUCUCAUUCAAGAAAUUGGUGAACAAAAUAAAAAAAUAAUAUUUGAAUAGAUGUAAAUCUAACUAAAUUCAAUUAGAGAUAAUUUGUGACGUACGUUUUUGGAUUCAAUUAGAUUCAACAUUCGACAUGAUUAAUUAACUAUUUUUAAUGACUUGUUCAAUCUAUAUUUUUAUUUGUGGAAGUUGUUGGAAAUAUGGUUUUAUGCCAAAUCUGAAAAUUAUUAUUUAAUUAAAUAUUUAUUAUUUAAUUAAAAUAAUAAUUGGAUGUUAAUCUACAUCUCGAGUGGAUCAACGUGAUAUACUUGAAGUCUCAAAACCGAUUUCCGGUGAGUGAGAUAUUGUAUGUCAAAGUUUGGAUGUUGAAGAGGGAAAAUCAGUUUCAACUUCUGCGUUCAACGAUUGCGGCCACCUACCGCAGCCGCCGGAAUUGACUGUUUCAACUUCUGCGUUCAACGAUUGCGGCCACCUACCGCAGCCGCCGGAGUUGACUGCCGAUCCGUUCACACUCGGUUUAACACCUAUAAAUAUGGGUGUGUGGUGAGCUUUAGAAUUCACUCUGAAAAC
rnacentral:lncRNA from 1 species